rnacentral:rRNA from 3 species
UUAAAUUGAAGAGUUUGAUCAUGGCUCAGAUUGAACGCUGGCGGCAGGCCUAACACAUGCAAGUCGAGCGGUAGCACAGAGAGCUUGCUCUCGGGUGACGAGCGGCGGACGGGUGA